GCCGAAAUAGCACAAUUGGUAGUGCAGCGCCCUUGUAACGCGAAGGUUGUAGGUUCGAGUCCUAUUUUCGGCACCA
rnacentral:tRNA from 1 species